ensembl:lncRNA
GGGCCUUGAGAGGGGCUCAGCGUCUCCUUGUAGGCAUCUAACCACGCGCUCAGUCUCUGCUGUAGGGAGGGAGUGAGGAGGGAGUCCAGGAGGUCCUCCAGGAGAUGGGCGGCGUGGUGCACGAGGGGGCCGUGUGUGUGUGCCACAAGCGGGGUGUGUGUGCGUGUGGGCACGCCUCUCGGGUCUGUGCAUGAAGAUUUGUCUUGAGCACGUGCAGCUAGCAUCAGACAGCUGACCGUGUCAGUCAGACUAGACUGGGCGGGGCUAACACACACCAAUAGAAGGGUGUGGGCGGAGCCAGAUAGGGAGUUCUGCAGCAAUCUCAUCAGCGGUGAGUGUGUGUGUGUGUGUGCGGAGGUGCAAUGGAUUGAUGGAUAUGCAGCGUAUCGAUGACCGGUUGGUGAGUCUGAACCUGAAUCUAACCGUGUGAGGGGAGUGCAUGGCGUGUGCGCGCGGCUAGGCGGGGCGCGGGAGGGGUGUGUGUGACUCCGCGGGGUGGCGUGGGGGAGUGUGUCCCGCUGAAUCAUGUCGGCUAGAGUCCUGAGCUCUGUGCCGAUCUGGAGGGAGCGUUUGAAUCUGGGGGUGCCGGCGUUCACCAGUCCGGAAUCACGCUCCCAGCCGGCCAGGUCCACCAGCAAUAGUGUGGAGAGCAACGCAUCCUGGGAACUGCUGUCUAAGCGCCGCCUGAGCCGCAGCCAAAAGAGUGUGUGUGAGGACGAGCGCUGGUGGUUCACGUCAGACACACACUCCAGGACGUGUCGCAGAUCUUCCAGGGAACUCAGUGGGAUCUCCACAGCUCCUUCCACCCCUGAAGACACACAGGGAAACACAGACAGUUACACACACAGUGCUGAGAUCCACACGUCAUACGGCCAUAUAUUACCCAGACAACUUUAUAAUGGUGCUACGCCAUCUAACCAUACCUCUGAAUACUAUGCAUUUCAGCAUUGAUAACAUUACAAUAGAACACUCGAUGACUUUUGAUAUGAGCAUAUGUUGAAAUAAACAUACACUGGCACACAGCCUAGCUACUGCUGAGAGGCAUGGUAAGAUGGCACAGGUAAGAUGGCACAGGUAAGAUGGCACGGGUAAGAUGGCACAGGUAAGAUGACACAGGUAAGAUGGCACAGGUAAGAUGGCACAGGUAAGAUGACACGGGUAAGAUGACAGGUAAGAUGGCACAGGUAAGAUGACACGGGUAAGAUGACACAGGUAAGAUGGCACAGGUAAGAUGGCACAGGUAAGAUGGCACGGGUAAGAUGACACAGGUAAGAGACCACUCAGAACACAGCAAUGAGG